GUCAUGUGGGCGCGACGACCGCCAGCGCGGGGGUGCGGCUCUAGAUCAGGGCCUCAAUCUCAGGGCCUAUGACCGUGGUAGGCAAGUGCUCCACCCCCUGAAAAUGUUUCCAGGGUUGGUUUUGAACUUCUAGACUCAAGUGAUUCUGCUGCCUUGGCCUCCCAGUACCAAGGAUUGAAUUUGGGACUUUGCACUUGCGAGGCAGGCAGCGGAACUAUUGAGCUAAACCCCUGGCCCUAAUUUUUAAUGAGGGCUGGAUGUAACAACCACCUUGAAAAGUUCCUGAUAAUCUACCUACCAGCUCUCUUGAGUCAGAACAGACAAAUUCCAACAUAACACUGUAGCAUUCUAAGAAGGAACUAAUGCCAGGCAACAACAGUCAGACCAUUCAUACAAGACCUUUCCUCCUUAAUCAGCCUCCUUCUUCUACCCUGUCCCUUACCCAUACAGGCAUCAGACAUAGCCUAGUGCGUGUGGAAAAAAAGGGAACAGAACAAGUAAGAUGAGAGAAAAAAUGCCAGCCAAGUUUCUCUUUCAACUGUAAAUUUUUAGGCCCACAAUAGGCCUAAGCUGGAAGAAGUGAAACUUAAAUUGAAUAAUUUUUAGGAUUUAUAAGAUCAUUAGACUAAAAGGAACUUCUAGUGUCUAAAAUAAUCCAAUAAAGCCAGCUAAAUUCCUACUCUUUCAUUCUGAGACAGUAAAAGACAACUACAGUGAGUUUACAGAGGAAAUAAUUGAGAAAAAUAACUAUUUUCUGUUUGUACCCUACAAAGUCUAGUUCAUUCAAGAAACAUACACUUCACAUAGUCUGGUAUAAUAAAUUUCUCAGAAACUUAGCAUUUUAAAAUACUAUUUCAGAAUUGAAGCUGAGUUGGGUGUGGUGGCUCACGCCUGUAAU